rnacentral:lncRNA from 1 species
AUGGCUGGCUGGUUGGUUUUACCAAGUCAUCAUACCCGUAACAAAUGCCUGUCGAUGCUCUCAUUCCAGCACAAGUUUCUGGUGUCUGCAGAGGCAGCGGGGCUUUCUGCUCCAUUCCUUCUCAGUAGGGUCUGUACGCUCAAAAACACCACCUGCAGAAGUGCUCCAGGCAGUUGUGCAAAGCUCCCAAGACAAGAAACAGGGGACAGGACUCAUAAAUUUUUAAUAAGUGGAUGGAUAAUCAUAAAUGAACAGUCCACUGAGCAAUUCACUUAGUUCUCAAUGUAUAACCAGGCGUCAUCCAAGCAAAGUCAACACGCCGACAACUUAAGAAAUGCAAUCCUCUGUCGGCAUGCAGGCAGCCCUUUGCUCCUAAGCACCAUACAGAAGUUCCAGAUAAUUAUAACCUGACUUGCCUCACUAGGAUUGCUGCCAAGUGCAUUAGUAAGAAAACCUAUCAAAAAGGAAGAAAAAUUAAAGAAGGCAGACUGCUCAUGCCAUCAGUUACAAAGAGCUAAUACAGGGUGCUUUAUAAAUCACUCUUACAUGAUUACUUUUAAUUUUGGUUAAUAUGCCAUAUUUAAACAUAGCUGAUUAAAAAUGAAAAUUGAGUGAAUUGGUUGCUUGAGGAAAAUGACAGCUUGAUGGUGCUGGAAAUAGCAAUCUUUCAUUUAUUCCUAGGAUAGGGACUGAAAAGACAGAAGCCAGUCCAACUUCUUUAUGCUACCCUGCUAACAUCCCUAAAUAUGUGGUGGGAUAAAACUCUUGGAAAAGGAAAAGGAAAAUCACUUUCUGCAACCUCAUUAUUCUUAGUACUUUUCUUUUUUCUGCUGUGGGCACUAAUCACAAGAGACUGGGCUGAGAUCACAAUUUCAUUUCAUAAUGGCUACAAGUCAAUUCCCAGUCGGAUAUUUCCUAUUAUUUGCAUUGUUCUAUCUCCUUCCCAGCAAUCUCCUGGCCACGGGAUCGCCACUACCACCACUGUCUCCAUCUCUUCUCUACCUAAAAGCUGACUGUCCCCCUAGAACCACUGUGGGCUCUAACAGGUUACCACAGGCCUUACCUUGCCUAGAUUCAGGCCUCUACCACCCUUUCACCUAGAUGCUAUGCUCUUGCCCCACCACAUUCCAGCUCCCCCAUAUGUGUUCUCUUCCCCCAUUAAAAUCUAAGAGCCUUGAUGGCAGGGACUGUCUUACUUGCUUAUAUUUGUACCCCUAGUGGUUGAAACAGGGUCUAGCAUACAGUAACCAUUUAAUAAAUGCUUUAUAGGUUUACUCA